rnacentral:rRNA from 1 species
UGGGGAAUUUUGGACAAUGGGCGAAAGCCUGAUCCAGCAAUGCCGCGUGUGUGAAGAAGGCCUUCGGGUUGUAAAGCACUUUUGUCCGGAAAGAAAUCCUUGGCUCUAAUACAGUCGGGGGAUGACGGUACCGGAAGAAUAAGCACCGGCUAACUACGUGCCAGCAGCCGCGGUAAUACGUAGGGUGCAAGCGUUAAUCGGAAUUACUGGGCGUAAAGCGUGCGCAGGCGGUUUGCUAAGACCGAUGUGAAAUCCCCGGGCUCAACCUGGGAACUGCAUUGGUGACUGGCAGGCUAGAGUAUGGCAGAGGGGGGUAGAAUUCCACGUGUAGCAGUGAAAUGCGUAGAGAUGUGGAGGAAUACCGAUGGCGAAGGCAGCCCCCUGGGCCAAUACCGACGCUCAUGCACGAAAGCGUGGGGAGCAAACAGGAUUAGAUACCCUGGUAGUCCACGCCCUAAAACGAUGUCAACUAGUUGUUGGGGAUUCAUUUCCUUAGUAACGUAGCUAACGCGUGAAGUUGACCGCCUGGGGAGUACGGUCGCAAGAUUAAAACUCAAAUGAAUUGACGGGGUCAUAGCUGUUUCCU